rnacentral:ncRNA from 2 species
CGGCCUGGAUGGGGGUGCCCGAGGAUGGGCUGAGAGCCGCAGCGAUACGUCGCGCGACAACCCCUGGAACCUGAUCCGGUUGAUACCGGCGGAGGGAAUCCCCGACGCGUGCCC